AUUGAACGCUGGCGGCAUGCUUUACACAUGCAAGUCGAACGGUAACAGGCCGCAAGGUGCUGACGAGUGGCGAACGGGUGAGUAAUGCAUCGGAACGUGCCCAGUCGUGGGGGAUAACUACUCGAAAGAGUAGCUAAUACCGCAUACGAUCUAUGGAUGAAAGCGGGGGACCGUAAGGCCUCGCGCGAUUGGAGCGGCCGAUGUCAGAUUAGGUAGUUGGUGGGGUAAAGGCUCACCAAGCCAACGAUCUGUAGCUGGUCUGAGAGGACGACCAGCCACACUGGGACUGAGACACGGCCCAGACUCCUACGGGAGGCAGCAGUGGGGAAUUUUGGACAAUGGGCGCAAGCCUGAUCCAGCAAUGCCGCGUGCAGGAAGAAGGCCUUCGGGUUGUAAACUGCUUUUGUACGGAACGAAACGGCUCUGGUUAAUACCCGGGGCUAAUGACGGUACCGUAAGAAUAAGCACCGGCUAACUACGG
rnacentral:rRNA from 1 species